rnacentral:rRNA from 1 species
CCUACGGGAGGCAGCAGUGAGGAAUAUUGGUCAAUGGGCUUACGCCUGAACCAGCCAAGUCGCGUGAGGGAAGACUGCCCUAUGGGUUGUAAACUUCUUUUAUAAAGGAAUAAAACGAGGCACGUGUGCCUUUUUGCAUGUACUUUAUGAAUAAGGAUCGGCUAACUCCGUGCCAGCAGCCGCGGUAAUACGGAGGAUCCGAGCUUUAUCCGGUUUUAUUGGGUUUAAAGGGAGCGUAGAUGGGUUGUUAAGUCAGUUGUGAAAGUUUGCGGCUCAACCGUAAAAUUGCAAUUGAUACUGGCAGUCUUGAGUACAGUUGAGGUAGGCGGAAUUCGUGGUGUAUCGGUGAAAUGCUUAGAUAUCACGAAGAACCCCGAUUGCGAAGGCAGCUUACUAAACUGUGACUGACAUUGAUGCUCGAAAGUGUGGGUAUCAAACAGGAUUAGAUACCCGAGUAGUC